AAUCAACGCUGGCGGCGUGCCUCAGACAUGCAAGUCGAACGAUUAAAGCUCUCUUCGGAGAGUGUAUAGAGUGGCGCACGGGUGAGUAACACGUAAGUAAUCUACCUUUGAGUGGGGAAUAACAUCGGGAACCGAUGCUAAUACCGCAUAAUGCAGCGGCAUCGCAAGAUGACAGUUGUUAAAGAUUUAUCGCUUGAAGAGGAGCUUGCGGCAGAUUAGCUAGUUGGUAAGGUAAUGGCUUACCAAGGCUACGAUCUGUAACCGGUCUAAGAGGACGGUCGGUCACACUGACACUGAAUAACGGGUCAGACUCCUACGGGAGGCAGCAGUCGGGAA
rnacentral:rRNA from 1 species